rnacentral:lncRNA from 12 species
ACCCCCACCCUGGCACCCUCGGAAUUCCAACACGUACCUGCAGGAAGCAGAACGGCGCAUCUUGAGAUUCACACCAGCCCCGAAAUCUUGGGAAGAAUGACCUACAGACAACAACAAUCGGGUAUAUGAUAUUUAUCAUUUGAGCAAUUACAACCACAUAUUAUGUGGUAUCUGCAGCAUGCAUCAGCGAAGACCAUGCUCCGUGCUGCCUACAGAGGCACACGUGGCCCGUGACCAAGGGCCCCGCCGCCUGUUUGAAGGUUACACCACAGUGUCCAGCAUACAGGCCAUUCCAGAGAAGUGUCUCCAUGCCAGCCCAAGAAACUCUUGAUAACCGAAGGGAAAACACAUCGUGAUUUCUAACGACGCCGAGAGUCCUCCUGUCUCCUGCACAUCUGGGGGCCUGGGCCGCUCCGCCUGAGUGGUCCUGCAGACCAAGUUGCUGAGGCGUGCAGAUCGCAGGAGUUCUCCCCAGAGAAGGCCCAGGCUUUGCCGCCAAGCAUCCGCCCGUUACUAAUCCGCCACCCAUGAUCUCAAAGAGACGCCCGCCUGCCUCGGACCACACAGCAGCUGCCGGAUGCCCACAGCUUCACAAAGGCAUUCCUGUGUCUGUGGUCCCUGAGCAAGCAGCUACAAAAUGCUGCGUCAUCCUCUUCCCAGAAACCAAUUAGUGUCCUCCGCCUGACCAGGCUCGCUGGUGGCUUUCUCAGUGUGCACAGGAGCAGCGGGCAAUCGCCCUCCUGGUGGAGCCGUCAGCAGGUGGUAGACCAGCAGCCCCAGGGAGGGAAGCACAUGCUCAGAGUCCUAGCCUGCCUGUGUGUGUGCAUGUGUGCAUGUGUGCAUCUUCUAGGACAGCAUGGUCCUCACUGCACAGACCAGUACAGCUGGCCUCAGGAUGCUUGCGUCCUUUCUGGAAUGGUAAGUCAGCAGGGAUAAAUUUAUCCAAACUGUCUUUUAUCCUCUGUCUUAUCUAAUUUUCUCCUUACACCCUUUUCUUUCCAUAGCAUCUCUGCCCAUCAUUCUCCUUGUUGGCUUGUUCCUUGGAGUGUGUAACAUAGACAGUUACGGGUGAGUACAAAUACCAAAGUACAAAUCC